UUUCCCUAGGUGAACCUGCGGAAGGAUCAUUAUUGUAUAACCGAGGUGCGAGGGCUGUCGCUGACCCGAAAGGUCGUGCACGCCCGAGUGCCCUCACACACAUCCAUCUCACCCCUAUGUGCACCACCGCGUGGGUCCCCCUUUGGCUUGUUCGGAGGGGGGCUUACGUUUUCACACAAACUUUGUAUGCAGUGUAGAAUGUAUUUUCUGUUUUUGCGAUCACGCAAUCAAUACAACUUUCAACAACGGAUCUCUUGGCUCUC
rnacentral:misc_RNA from 1 species